UACGUAGGUGGCAAGCGUUGUCCGGAUUUACUGGGCGUAAAAAGCGCGCAGGCGGUCGUUCAAGUCGCGUGUGAAAGCCCCCGGCUCAACUGGGGAGGGUCACGCGAUACUGAUCGACUCGAAGGCAGGAGAGGGUAGUGGAAUUCCCGGUGUAGUGGUGAAAUGCGUAGAUAUCGGGAGGAACACCAGUGGCGAAGGCGACUACCUGGCCUGUUCUUGACGCUGAGGCGCGAAAGCUAGGGGAGCAAACGGGG
rnacentral:rRNA from 1 species